GAUUAACGCUGGCGGCGUGCAUAACACAUGCAAGUCGAACGAUGAAACUUUAAUGAACCCUUCGGGGAGAAUUAAAGCGGAUUAGUGGCGAACGGGUGAGUAACGCGUGAGUAACCUGCCUUGCACAAGGGGAUAGCCUUUGGAAACGAAGAAUAAUACCCUAUAAAACCAUAAAAGCACAUGCAAUUAUGGUCAAAGUGAUAGCGGUGUAAGAUGGACUUGCGUCUGAUUAGCUAGUUGGUGAGAUAAAAGCCCACCAAGGCAACGAUCAGUAGCCGGCUUGAGAGAGUGUCCGGCCACAUUGGGACUGAGACACGGCCCAGACUCCUACGGGAGGCGGCAGUGGGGAAUUUUGCACAAUGGGGGAAACCCUGAUGCAGCGACGCCGCGUGAUUUAGAAGGCCUUCGGGUUGUAAAAAUCUUUUGUAUAGGAAGAAAAUGACAGUACUAUACGAAUAAGGUCCGGCUAAUUACGUG
rnacentral:rRNA from 1 species